rnacentral:rRNA from 1 species
AUUGAACGCUGGCGGCAUGCCUUACACAUGCAAGUCGAACGCGAAAGGGGGCAACCCUGAGUAGAGUGGCGAACGGGUGAGCAAUACAUCGGAACACGUCCUGUAGCGGGGGACAACCCCGAGAAAUCGGGGCUAAUACCGCAUACGAUCUACGGAUGAAAGUGGGGGACCGCAAGGCCCCACACUAUAGGAGUGGCCGAUGCCGGAUUAGCUAGUUGGCGGGGUAAAAGCCCACCAAGGCGACGAUCCGUAGCUGGUUUGAGAGAACGACCAGCCACACUGGGACUGAGACACGGCCCAGACUCCUACGGGAGGCAGCAGUGGGGAAUUUUGGACAAUGGGCGCAAGCCUGAUCCAGCCAUGCCGCGUGAGUGAAGAAGGCCUUGG